rnacentral:rRNA from 1 species
AGCAAACAGGAUUAGAUACCUGGUAGUCCACGCUGUAAACGAUGUCGAUUUGGAGGUUGUUCCCUUGAGGAGUGGCUUCCGGAGCUAACGCGUUAAAUCGACCGCUGGGGAGUACGGCCGCAAGGUCAAAACUCAAAUGAAUUGACGGGGGCCCGCACAAGCGGUGGAGCAUGUGGUUUAAUUCGAUGCAACGCGAAGAACCUUACCUACUCUUGACAUCCAGAGAAUUUAGCAGAGAUGCUUUAGUGCCUUCGGGAACUCUGAGACAGGUGCUGCAUGGCUGUCGUCAGCUCGUGUUGUGAAAUGUUGGGUUAAGUCCCGCAACGAGCGCAACCCUUAUCCUUUGUUGCCAGCACAUUAUGGUGGGAACUCAAAGGAGACUGCCGGUGAUAAACCGGAGGAAGGUGGGGAUGACGUCAAGUCAUCAUGGCCCUUACGAGUAGGGCUACACACGUGCUACAAUGGCGUAUACAAAGAGAAGCGACCUCGCGAGAGCAAGCGGAACUCAUAAAGUACGUCGUAGUCCGGAUUGGAGUCUGCAACUCGACUCCAUGAAGUCGGAAUCGCUAGUAAUCGUAGAUCAGAAUGCUACGGUGAAUACGUUCCCGGGCCUUGUACACACCGCCCGUCACACCAUGGGAGUGGGUUGCAAAAGAAGUAGGUAGCUUAACCUUCGGGAGGGCGCUUACCACUUUGUGAUUCAUGACUGGGGUGAAGUCGUAACAAGGUAACCA